UACGGAGGAUCCGAGCGUUAUCCGGAUUUAUUGGGUUUAAAGGGUGCGCAGGCGGGAAAUUAAGUCGGCGGUGAAAUUUUGCGGCUCAACCGUAAAAGUGCCUUCGAAACUGGUUUCCUUGAGUGUGGAUGAAGUAGGCGGAAUUUGUGGUGUAGCGGUGAAAUGCAUAGAUAUCACGAGGAACUCCGAUUGCGCAGGCAGCUUACUAAACUACUACUGACGCUCAGGCACGAAGGCGUGGGGAUCAAACAGGAUUAGAUACCCUGGUAGUCCCUGA
rnacentral:rRNA from 1 species